rnacentral:rRNA from 1 species
CCUACGGGUGGCUGCAGUCGAGAAUCUUUCACAAUGGGGGCAACCCUGAUGGAGCGACGCCGCGUGGAGGAUAAGGUCUUCGGAUUGUAAACUCCUGUCAUGCGCGAACAAGGUUGCCAGGUUAAUACCUUGGCAAAUUGAUGGUACCGCAAGAGGAAGAGACGGCUAACUCUGUGCCAGCAGCCGCGGUAAUACAGAGGUCUCAAGCGUUGUUCGGAAUCACUGGGCGUAAAGGGUGCGUAGGUGGCGUGGUAAGUCAGAUGUGAAAGCCCGGGGCUCAACCUCGGAACUGCAUCCGAUACUGCCAUGCUUGAGUACUGAAGAGGUGACUAGAAUUCUCGGUGUAGCAGUGAAAUGCGUAGAUAUCGAGAGGAAUACCAAAGGCGAAGGCAGGUCACUGGGCAGUUACUGACACUGAGGCACGAAGGCCAGGGGAGCAAACGGGAUUAGAUACCCCUGUAGUC